AUUGAACGCUGGCGGCAGGCUUAACACAUGCAAGUCGAGCGAGCGGCGGACGGGUGAGUAAUGUCUGGGAAACUGCCUGUUGGAGGGGGAUAACUACUGGAAACGUUAGCUAAUACCGCAUACCAUCAGAUGUGCCCAGAUGGGAUUAGCUAGUAGGUGGGGUAAUGGCUCACCUAGGGGACGAUCCCUAGCUGGUCUGAGAGGAUGACCAGCAACACUGGAACGGAGACACGGUCAAGACUCCUACGGGAGGCAGCAGGGGGGAAUAUUGCACAAUGGGCGCAAGCCGGAUGCAGCCAUGCCGCGUGUAUGAAGAAGGCCAUCGGGUUGUAAAGUACUUUCAGCGGGGAGGCGUUACCCGCAGAAGAAGCACCGGCUAACUCCGAGCCAGCCGCCGCGGUAAUAC
rnacentral:rRNA from 1 species